CCUUAGCUGGGGCCCUGGGGUGCCAGGCUGCCCUGGGGCCGAUGGGGCUGGGGUUCAGGCCUGGUACCUGUGUUGGUAAAGGACCCUGCCCGAGCCCACCACCCUCGCCCGAGGGUCCCAGCCUCCUCUCGCAGGCCCGCCGUGGCUCUGACCCAACUGUGGUUGACGUCCGGCCCCAUACCCACCUGGGGGUGCCCAAUCCCCAGAGGCCGCCCGUGAACUGGCUGUCACAGACCACAAUGCCCCACCCGCGUGGGUGCAGACAGGGCAGCUGGGGGCCUCCGCACUUUCUCCACUGCACACCUGCCCCACCAGGCUCCGGAAACUCAGCUCCCACCUUGGGGUGGGUGUCCAUGUCCUGGGCUGCCCCCCAGCCUCCUCUGCCCACCAGAAUGGUCAGUAGUGUCACUGAGCUGGCCAAGCGGCUGCUGUGCCCCAGCCCCCACCCCCUGGGCUGGGCAGACUCUCUCCAGUCAGCGUCUCAGGCCCGGGGAGCAGAGAAGACUCAGUUUUUCCUGCUGAAUUCACCACCAAUGAACACGUGAAAAUCUUCCUACUUGUGUACUUCCAAAGACCCAGCCCAGGGACUUUCCUGGUGCUCCAGUGCCUGAGACUCAGCGCUCCCAAUGCAGGAGGCCCGGGUUCCACCCCUGGUCAGGGAACUAAACCCACGUCACGCCACAGCUCUAGAUCCUGCACAGUCAUCAACCUCGGAGAUCACAAGCACCGCCACUAAGACCCAGUAGGGCCAAAUAAACAACAAGUGCUAUUUUAAAAAGUACUCUUUGCUAAAACAACAAUAAAGCCCCAGUGUGCCUUUCAGCCAAACCCAUCUGAAA